rnacentral:rRNA from 1 species
UACGUAGGGUCCAAGCGUUAAUCGGAAUUACUGGGCGUAAAGCGUGCGCAGGCGGUUCGUUAAGUCAGCUGUGAAAGCCCCGGGCUCAACCUGGGAAUUGCGGUUGAAACUGGUGAACUAGAAUCUGGCAGAGGGGGGUGGAAUUCCACGUGUAGCAGUGAAAUGCGUAGAGAUGUGGAGGAACACCGAUGGCGAAGGCAGCCCCCUGGGCUGAGAUUGACGCUCAGGCACGAAAGCGUGGGGAGCAAACAGG